rnacentral:piRNA from 1 species
UGUGGCGAAAUUGAGACACAGGC